GGGGGGGCGGACGAGAGGGGGGUUGUUUUCCCCCUCAAAUUGAGAGAGAGGGGUUUUGUGGGGUGUGGGGGAGAGGGACCCCAACCCAAAAAAAAAAAAGGUUUAUCGGGGGGUGUAAAAAAAAUCCUUGUUUGGGGAAAAAAGAAUUUUUUGGCCCGGGAAAGGGGGUACGGGGUUUUCCUGUUUUUCCAUCACAAAAAGGCCCAGGGCAAAGUAAGGGUCUUUCCGCCCGGGUUAAAAAAUAUAGGAGCCAGGGCUAUCCCGGGUUUUUUGGGCCCCAACAAAAUGCGCGGGGGUGUUUAUUUAAGUGUGGUUUGUAUACGCCCUCGGGAUAACCUAAGGAGGCGGUUGGGAAACUGAGAAACUGGAGCCCUUCAAAAGACAGCGAGACUCCUUUAUGGCGGUGAAUUGCGGGGUUUUUUAUCCGAACACCAUCCGAUGAGGUGGAGGUUUGUGUUAAAUAAACGCCGGGGAUGCAACACUGCCAAGGGAACAAUACCAUAUACCACCGUAGUUCACCGCGACACAAGGGAUGACUGGGAGCUGUUGGGCAUUCUCCGUUCCUAGGUGCCGCUGAGGAUGCAUGAAUUAUUCCGGGGGGGGAGUAUGACAGCAAGGAAAAAACUCAAAGGAAUUGAGGGGCGCCCGAACAAGCGGUGGAGCAUGUGGUUUAAUUAGAAGCAAGGUGAAGAACCUUAGCUGGUCGUGACAUCUUUGGAUCACACGAGAGAUCAGGUUUCCCCUUCGGGGGCAAAAAGACAGGUGGUGCAUGGUAGUUGUCAGAUCGUGUAGCGAGAUGCAGU
rnacentral:misc_RNA from 1 species